GAUGAACGCUGGCGGCGUGCCUAAUACAUGCAAGUCGAGCGAACAGACGAGGAGCUUGCUCCUCUGACGUUAGCGGCGGACGGGUGAGUAACACGUGGAUAACCUACCUAUAAGACUGGGAUAACUUCGGGAAACCGGAGCUAAUACCGUAUAACAUGUUGAACCGCAUGGUUCAACAGUGAAAGACGGUCUUGCUGUCACUUAUAGAUGGAUCCGCGCCGCAUUAGCUAGUUGGUAAGGUAACGGCUUACCAAGGCAACGAUGCGUAGCCGACCUGAGAGGGUGAUCGGCCACACUGGAACUGAGACACGGUCCAGACUCCUACGGGAGGCAGCAGUAGGGAAUCUUCCGCAAUGGGCGAAAGCCUGACGGAGCAACGCCGCGUGAGUGAAGAAGGUCUUCGGAUCGUAAAACUCUGUUAUUAGGAAAGAACAAAUGUGUAAGUAACUAUGCACGUCUUGACGGUACCUAAUCAGAAAGCCACGGCUAACUACGUG
rnacentral:rRNA from 1 species